AUGCAGAACCCACAGUGGUAUGUUGUUUGGGGCAAGGACAUGAACAUGAGGAUCCUCCCAGAGUACGUCGUCAGCUUCAAGUGUCCCAACCUCCAUCAGAUGCAAGGAUCAUCGGGAGCGAACUCCACACUAAAGAAGCCUUCGCCGGUGGCUCAUGACAUGUUUCCGACGCUUCUAGCAGAGAUCCAGUGGUUCAUGCCAUCUUCCAAGCUGCAGAUUGCAGGGGACCUACAAUUGCUUCAAGCCAGCUGCAAUGAAGUCCUCCAUAGAGAAGGGUUUGCAGAAAAUGAUCUUGGCAUCCCAGAUAAGCAGGUUGGGGUCAAAGCCGGUGCCCGGGGGAUUUCAAUGGAUCACCAACACGAGAAACUGAAAUGGCAGGACCAGAAAAGAUGGUCCCAGAUCUCACUGCAGCCGGAUGUGCAAGAACACAUCAAUGAUCAUCUGUGA
rnacentral:rRNA from 1 species